UAGUUCGUGGAAUAAUCUGUCUGCUUAAUUGCGUUUUUUCAAUUAUGCUUUGAUGCCCAUUAUGUCUUCUGUGUGUGGAGUGCUGGUUCACUUGUGUUCCACCUCUGCAUUACUGAUAGGCGGGUUUUCAGAGCCUUCUGAAACGAACGAGACCCCAACCCUUCUUUUUCAAUGUUAUACAACUCUGUGUUGUAACUUUUUUGUUAUUCAGUUGCAAGUCGGUUUCGGCUGGUCUUGUGCUGGGUUGCAUUUUACGACAUUGUUAACAGAAGGGGACUGUUACAACCUAAUGUAAAGGAAGGUUGGGGCAAUAACAGGU
rnacentral:rRNA from 1 species